GAGUUUGAUCUUGGCUCAGAACGAACGCUGGCGGCAUGCCUAACACAUGCAAGUCGAACGAGACCUUCGGGUCUAGUGGCGCACGGGUGCGUAACGCGUGGGAAUCUGCCCUUGGGUUCGGAAUAACAGUUAGAAAUGACUGCUAAUACCGGAUGAUGACUUCGGUCCAAAGAUUUAUCGCCCAGGGAUGAGCCCGCGUCGGAUUAGCUUGUUGGUGAGGUAAAAGCUCACCAAGGCGACGAUCCGUAGCUGGUCUGAGAGGAUGAUCAGCCACACUGGGACUGAGACACGGCCCAGACUCCUACGGGAGGCAGCAGUGGGGAAUAUUGGACAAUGGGCGAAAGCCUGAUCCAGCAGUGCCGCGUGAGUGAUGAAGGCCUUAGGGUUGUAAAGCUCUUUUACCCGGAAGAUAAUGACUGUACCGGGAGAAUAAGCUCCGGCUAACUCCGUGCCAGCAGCCGCCGCAGU
rnacentral:rRNA from 1 species